rnacentral:rRNA from 1 species
UCCGGCAGGACCAUCUGCCAAGGCUAAAUACUUCCUAGCGACCGAUAGUGAAGCAGUACCGUGAGGGAAAGGUGAAAAGCACCCCGGAAGGGGAGUGAAAUAGAACCUGAAACCGUGUGCUUACAAAAAGUCAGAGCCCGUUUUAGGGGUGAUGGCGUGCCUUUUGUAGAAUGAACCGGCGAGUUACGUUCCCGUGCAAGGUUAAGGUGAAGAGCCGGAGCCGCAGCGAAAGCGAGUCUGAAUAGGGCGACUUAGUACGUGGACGUAGACCCGAAACCGGGUGAUCUACCCCUGUCCAGGGUGAAGGUGCGGUAACACGCACUGGAGGCCCGAACCCACGCAUGUUGAAAAAUGCGGGGAUGAGGUGGGGGUAGCGGAGAAAUUCCAAUCGAACUCGGAGAUAGCUGGUUCUCCCCGAAAUAGCUUUAGGGCUAGCCUCGGAAAACAGAGUCGUGGAGGUAGAGCACUGAUUGGGUGCGGGGCCCGCAAGGGUUACCAAGCUCAGUCAAACUCCGAAUGCCAUAGACUUACUUCCGGGAGUCAGACAGUGAGUGCUAAGAUCCAUUGUCAAAAGGGAAACAGCCCAGACCAUCAGCUAAGGUCCCCAAGUGUGUGUUAAGUGGGAAAGGAUGUGGAGUUGCACAGACAACCAGGAUGUUGGCUUAGAAGCAGCCAUCAUUGAAAGAGUGCGUAAUAGCUCACUGGUCGAGUGACUCUGCGCCGAAAAUGUAACGGGGCUAAACACACCACCGAAGCUAUGGCUUGAUGCUUUGCAUCAGGGGUAGGGGAGCGUUGUAUAAGGGUUGAAGGUGUACCGUAAGGAGCGCUGGACAUUAUACAAGUGAGAAUGCCGGUAUGAGUAACGAAAAGAUCAGUGAGAAUCUGAUCCGCCGAAAGCCUAAGGGUUCCUGAGGAAGGCUCGUCCGCUCAGGGUAAGUCGGGACCUAAGGCGAGGCCGAAAGGCGUAGUCGAAGGACAACAGGUCGAAAUUCCUGUACCACCGUAAGCCGUUAUGAGCAAUGGGGGGACGCAGUAGGGUAGUGACGCGGACUGAUGGAUGUCCGUCUAAGCAGUAAGGCUGAUGUGUAGGCAAAUCCGCACAUUGUAAGGCUGAGCUGUGAUGGGGAGCGAAAAUUAUAGUAGCGAAGGUCAUGAUCUCACACUGCCAAGAAAAGCCUCUAGCCAGGUGAUGGUGCCCGUACCGCAAACCGACACAGGUAGGCGAGAAGAGUAUUCUAAGGCGCGCGGAAGAACUCUCGUUAAGGAACUCGGCAAAAUGACCCCGUAACUUCGGGAGAAGGGGUGCCCCGGUAGUGUGAAUAGCACGAGGGGGCCGCAGUGAAAAGGCCCAAGCGACUGUUUAGCAAAAACACAGGUCUGUGCGAAGCCGUAAGGCGAAGUAUACGGGCUGACGCCUGCCCGGUGCUGGAAGGUUAAGGGGAGUGGUUAGGAGCAAUCCGAAGCUGUGAACCGAAGCCCCAGUAAACGGCGGCCGUAACUAUAACGGUCCUAAGGUAGCGAAAUUCCUUGUCAGGUAAAUUCUGACCCGCACGAAUGGCGUAACGACUUGGGCGCUGUCUCAACGAGAGAUCCGGUGAAAUUUUAAUACCUGUGAAGAUGCAGGUUACCCGCGACAAGACGGAAAGACCCCAUGGAGCUUUACUGCAGCUUGAUAUUGAAUUUGGGUACGAUCUGUACAGGAUAGGUGGGAGCCUUUGAAGUGUGAGCGCCAGCUUGUGUGGAGGCAACGUUGGGAUACCACCCUGAUCGUAUCUAGGUUCUAACCUGGUACCGUAAUCCGGUGCGGGGACAGUGU